UUUAGGCGUCGGAACAAGUAGUGCUGCGAAAACUUUGGAAAUGAUAAAUUUGAGUUCUACAAACUACUGGUGCUAACAAAGACUACUCCAGAGGCGAGAAACGCAAGUUUGGACUAAGUUUGCAUGCACAGCUUUUCAACAUCUGCAAAUGUGUCACUUACAACCGUGCAGCCUGUGCCAUCAGAGACUGGAAGUUCUGCAUUUGUUUAGCACUAGUCAAAAUGUACCAUCCAAACUGUAAAGGAAGUGAAAUUAAUGAAGCUGUGUCAGCAAAAGAAACAGUGACUUAGUGA